CAGGCCUAACACAUGCAAGUCGAACGAACUCUUCGGAGUUAGUGGCGGACGGGUGAGUAACACGUGGGAACGUGCCUUUAGGUUCGGAAUAACUCAGGGAAACUUGUGCUAAUACCGAAUGUGCCCUUCGGGGGAAAGAUUUAUCGCCUUUAGAGCGGCCCGCGUCUGAUUAGCUAGUUGGUGAGGUAAAGGCUCACCAAGGCGACGAUCAGUAGCUGGUCUGAGAGGAUGAUCAGCCACAUUGGGACUGAGACACGGCCCAAACUCCUACGGGAGGCAGCAGUGGGGAAUCUUGCGCAAUGGGCGAAAGCCUGACGCAGCCAUGCCGCGUGAAUGAUGAAGGUCUUAGGAUUGUAAAAUUCUUUCACCGGGGACGAUAAUGACGGUACCCGGAGAAGAAGCCCCGGCUAACUUCGUGCCAGCAGCCGCGGUAAUACGAAGGGGGCUAGCGUUGCUCGGAAUUACUGGGCGUAAAGGGAGCGUAGGCGGACAUUUAAGUCAGGGGUGAAAUCCCGGGGCUCAACCUCGGAAUUGCCUUUGAUACUGGGUGUCUUGAGUAUGAGAGAGGUGUGUGGAACUCCGAGUGUAGAGGUGAAAUUCGUAGAUAUUCGGAAGAACACCAGUGGCGAAGGCGACACACUGGCUCAUUACUGACGCUGAGGCUCGAAAGCGUGGGGAGCAAACAGGAUUAGAUACCCUGGUAGUCCACGCCGUAAACGAUGAUUGCUAGUUGUCGGGAUGCAUGCAUUUCGGUGACGCAGCUAACGCAUUAAGCAAUCCGCCUGGGGAGUACGGUC
rnacentral:rRNA from 1 species